AUUAUGUUGUACUUCAGUUCUGCAUGUGGUUUGUCCAGGUGGUUGCCGUACCCCAGCAGAAGCAUUGCUCGAGUGCCGUGAAUUGGGCAACCUCAGAAAAGUUGAGAGCAGUGAGAAAAUGAGUACCAGUCAGAUGACAGAAGUACAAGAGAUGUCUAUGUUUCUUGAUGUAAUAAUCAUUGCCAUUGAGUAAAGAGAGAGAGGGAGAGACAGCAUGAGG